GAUGAAGAACGCAGCGAAAUGCGAUAAGUAGUGUGAAUUGCAGAAUUCAGUGAAUCAUCGAAUCUUUGAACGCACAUUGCGCCCCUUGGUAUUCCAUGGGGCAUGCCUGUUCGAGCGUCAUUUGUACCUUCAAGCUCUGCUUGGUGUUGGGUGUUUGUCUCGCCUCUGCGUGUAGACUCGCCUCAAAACAAUUGGCAGCCGGCGUAUUGAUUUCGGAGCGCAGUACAUCUCGCGCUUUGCACUCAUAACGAUGACGUCCAAAAGUACAUUUUUACACUCUUGACCUCGGAUCAGGUAGGGAUACCCGCUGAACUUAAGCAUAUCAAUAAGCGGAGGA
rnacentral:misc_RNA from 1 species